UCUUGAACAAAAGAGAAAGAGCUUGUAGAGAUAGGAGUGAGAAAGGGAAUGAAGAAUUUAGCUAUCUUAUAUAUCUUAUCUCAUUCAUCUUAUAUAUCUUAUCUCACUCCUAUCUCUACAAGCUGUUUCGUUAUCAAGGACUU